AAAAACCUCAAACAAGAUUACUCACUCCGCAAACAUACAUAUUUGAUUGUAAACCAUUAUAAAUGAUAAACGUAUUCGUAUUGUGCAAUUCAUAUGACUAUUAUUUAAAUGUAAUAUAAAUCAUAUGUGGGGUUUGAAGCCCUUAGGAACUGUGUGCCAAGUUAAUUCUGUUUAAGAACACAAUAACCACAUCCUAACAUGUUCAAAGCUACAAAAAAAACUUCCGCAAUUUAAAUAUUAGUGAGCUUGAUGUGCUGUUGCGUAAUGCAGAAAAAUAAUUGCAAAUACACAAAGAAAACAGAAAAACAAUGAAGUUCAAAUUAAAUACAUUUUAUAAUGUGAAGACCAUAAUACAGGGCGAAAUAAAUACUAUUGUCGGAAAUAAUUACAGAUUUACACAGCAAAUGAUAUAAAAUUGUAUGCGUAUAUAAAAACGCAAUAAAUGGACCACAACGACGCUUACGCAAAUAAAAUUCUUUCGCCCUAUGUAAAUCUAAAAAAGACAACUUUUUUAUUCGAUAUUUAUUUACGAACACCAAUGUAAAAACUCUUUCGCCCUAUAAACCUUACAAAGCCGAUAUUUUUAUGUAUAUAUAAUAUUACAGGAACCUAGUCUGUUCGAUGCUCAAAUAUAAAACUCUCGCCUUAAUAAAACUGAAAAAUUCAAAUUUCUUUGCAUAAAUGAUAAAUUCUUUCGCCGUAGAAACCUCAAGUCAAAUUUUACUGUGUAAAUUAGUCUUAGGAGCCUAGUCCAUUCAAUUUUCGUUUACGAAACCUUCUAAACCUUAAAAAGCCAAAUGUUUUAAUAUUCUGUUGCACACACCCUAAAGCCGAAGUUCUUUGUAAAAAAUAUUAAAUCACACAGUGUGCCUAGUUUCCCCAAAGCUUCAUUUUCACGUUUCAAAAGUUUUACGCCUUAUAGGUUUUGAAUGCUUAUUUACCACCUAUCACGUCACUAAAAAUCCAGUCGCCUUAAAUAAUUUCUUUGUAUGAAGAUAAAUCUAAACAAAUUCUUUCGCCCUAUAAACCUUCAAAAGCCAAUUUCUUUGUGUAAAAACUUGGUAUUUAUAUUACCAGAUCUCUAUCACCCUAUAAAACCUUAAAAAAAUAGCCAAAUUGCUUCAAUAAAUCACUUCUUUCGGCUUGUAAUAAACUUAAAAAAUUGAAUCUUUCGAUAUUAAAUUCAUUCAAUGUUUAUUUACUAUCACGUCUCGGAAAAUUUAGUGACCCUGUAAAACCGUACAGUCACGUUUCUCUGUAUAAAAAUGUAUUUUAAAUUUUCUUUCAGGCUAUAAAGAUUAAAAAGUAGAAUUUCCUUGUAUGGAACACCAAUCUUAAUAUUCUUUCGUCCUAUUAAACCAAAAUUGCCAAAUUUCUUUUACCAAAACGUCAAUCUAAAAAUUGUUUCGUCCUGUAUACUUCAAAAAUAGAAUCUUAAGAUACGAAGUUCAUACAAAAUUUAUUAAUUAUGGCGUUUUCGCAUUGCAAACCUAAAAAGGUUAUCUUUAUACAAAACAUUUGUCUACAAAUUCUUUCACCCUAUUAAAUCUAAAAUAAUAUAGAAUGUUUCGGCGCCUAGUUCAUUUAAAUCUUAUUUACUAACGAGUAUCUGAUAAUUCAUUCGCCCUAUAAGUCGGAUUUCUUUAUUUGAAACGCUAGUUUACUCAUUUUAACGUACUACAAAACCUCCAAAAACCGAAUUUCUUUGUAUAUAUAACAACACUUCUCCGAAAAAUCCUUUCGCCCUGCUUUAACACGUUAAUUUCCUUAUAACAAUACCAAUUCUUAUAAAGGUCGAAUUUCUUGGUUCAAAACAAUAAUGUACAGUUUCUUUCACCCUCUAUAACCUACAUAAUCAAAUUUCUUUGACACAACUAAAAAUUCUUUCGCCCUAUAAACCUAACAAAGUCGGAUUUCUUUGUUUAAAAAGCUAAUUUACUCAAUUUUACGCACUACAAAAGCAAAUUCUCUUUGUAUACAACUCUUCUCUGAAAAAUUCUUUCACCGUAAAACUUAAAAACGUCGAAUUUCUUUACAUAAAAUAAUCUUAAAUUUCUUUUCCUCUAUAAACAUGAAAUGGUCGAUUUUUUAUAAAACAAUACUUUCAAUGCUUAAAAAGUAACCUAAAAAUUCGUCGCCCUCAAACCUUAGAGCCGAAGUUCUUUGUAAAUCGUAGUUUCUAGUGCAUUGAAAACUUCAUACUAUUACGUUUCAAAAAGUCUAUCGCCCUAUAAAACCUAAAAACAGCAAAAUUUCCUUAUAAAACUAAUUGUUAAAUUCUUUCGCCCUGUAAGCUUCAAAAAAUAGAAUUUUUGUGCACCAAGGUUGAAUGCUUAUGUACUAUCACAUUUCCGAAAAUCCAGUCGCUCCGUAAGCAUUAAAAAUUUCUUUGUUAACAUAAAAGUCUUCUCGCCCUAUAAACGCAAAAUACGUCUUUCUUUGUUUAAAACAUAAAUUGACACAUUCAAACGCCCUACAAAACCUUGAAAACCUCUAACUUAGUACUUAUAUUCUUCCGCCCUAUAAUACCUAAAAAUAGCCAUAUUUCCUAAAAUAAAACACUGAACUAAAAAUUAUUUCGAUCUGUAACCUUAAAAAUAGAAUCUUUCGAUGUUAAGUUCAUUCGAAACUUAUUUACUAUCAACGUCUCGGAUAAUUUAGUCCCUUGUAAAUAUCAGCCAUGUUUAUGUAUAUUUAAAAUUUCUUUCGCCCUACAUAAAACGAUAAGUUCAUAUACAACUUGUUUAUUAUAUGGCGUUACUAACUUCUUUCGCCCUAAAAAUGUAAAAGAAUUCCUUUAUACAAAACAUUACUCUAAAAAUUCUUUCGCCCUAUUAAAUCUAAAAAAAAUAUAAUGUUUAGGCGUCUAAUUCAUUCAAAUCUUAUUUACUAAGGAAUAUCUGAUAUUUCUUUCACCCUAUAAACCUGUCGGAUUUUUUUUGUUCAAAACACUAGUUUACUUUAUACUUUUUACUCAUUUUAGAUUCCUAAUUUUUACGCUCUACGAAACCUACAAAAGCCGAAUUUCUUUGUAUAUACACUUCUCCGAAAAAUCCUUUCGCCCUAUAAACUUUAAAACGUCGAAUUUCUUUGUGAAUAAAAUAUUAAUCCAGAAUUCCGUUUAUAAUUCCUAUAAUCUUAAAAUGGUCAAUAUUCUUUAUAAGAAACACUCAUUUUCAAUACUUAAAAACUAAACUAAAAAAACAUAUUUUCGUACUAUAAAACUAAAAAGUCGAUUAUUUUAAAAUAAGGUAAUUAUUACAAAAGUCCUAGUCUAUUUCGAUGCUUCAGCACAAAUAAAAAACACUUUCGUCUUACAAAAAUAAUUCUCUCUUUGCAUAAAUGAUAAAAUCUUUCACCUUCUAAAACUUAAAAAGCCGAAUUACUGUAUUAAACACUAAUCCAAAUAUUAUGGCGCCCCCAAACCCUCGAAUCGAAGUUCUUUAUGAUUAUAUUAUUAUAUAUCCCUAGAGCCUUCAAAGCUUUAUCAUAUUACGUUUAAAAAAAUUCGUUGGUUCGAUAUACCUAAUUUGUACAAUCUACAAAUUCUCUCGCCCUAUAAACCAAAGUCAAAAUUCUUUGUGUAAUACUUGGUAUUUAUAUUCUUUCACCCUAUAAAAUCUAGUGAAAAAAUAAUUUCGUGUUGUAAUUACAGAAAUUAAAUAUAUGUAUGUGUCGCAACGGUCAUUUAAUACUAUAUAUAUAUUUACUAUCACAUCACCGAAAAUCCAGUCGCCCCCAUAAGCCUUAACAAAUUAACAUUUCUUUAUAUAAAUAUAAACCUAAGCAGAGUUUCUUUGUUAAAAUCAUAAUAAUCUAAAUAUUCUUUCGCUCCAUAAACCUUAGUCGAAUUUCUUUAUAAUAUAGAAUCUUGCAGCUCCUAGUUUAUUCAAAGCUUAUUUACUCACGUCUACGUAUUCCAACGCCCUAUAAACCUUCAAAACUUCGUGUAUAACUUGGUACUUGUAUUCUUUCGCCCUACAUAACCUAAAAAUAGCCAAAUUUCUUUCAAUAAACACUGAACUAGAAAUUAUUUCGCCCUGUAGUAAACUUAAAUAUUAGUCUUUCGAUGUAAAGUUCAUUUAAUGCUUCUAUACUAUCACGUCUCGGAAAAUUUAGUCGCCCUGUAAACCUUAGUCACGUUUCUUUGUAUAAAAAUAAUUUAAAAUUUCAUUCGCCGUUUAAAAAUUCAAAAGUUAAAUUUCUUUUUAUGGAACGCCAAUCCCUAUAUACUUUCGCCCUAUAAAAUCAUACAAUUGUCAAAUUGAUUUUACCAAAAAAAUCUAAAAAUUCUUACGUCCUGUAAACUUAAUCUUACGGUGCGGAGUUCAUGCAUAGCUUGUUUAUUAUUACGGCGUUUCUGAAUUUUUUCGCCCUGUCCUAAAAAAAUAAUUUAUUUAUGCACAACAUGGGUCUACAAAUUCUUUCGCGCUAUUAAAUUUAAAAAAUAGAAAGUUUCAGCGCCUAGUUCAUUCAAAUCUUAUUUACGAACGAAUAUCUAAUAUUUCUUUCGCCUUAUAAACAAACCUAACAAAGUUGGAUUUCUUUGUUUAAAAUGCUACUCAUUUUUACGCACUACAAACCUACAGCCGAAUUUCUUUGUAUAUUACAACACUUCUCCGAAAAAUCCUUUUGCUCUACUUUAACACGAAUUUCUUCAUAAAAAUACUAUUUCUUAAAAAUGUCGAAUUGCUUGGUUCAAAACUAUAAUCUACAAAUUCUUUCGCCCUAUAAACCUUCAAAAGUCAAACUUGUGAAAACUUGAUACCUUUUCGCCCUGUAAACUUAAAAAAUUGAAUUUUUCAAUGUAAAGUUCAUUCAAUGCUUAUAUAAUCUUUACGUCUCG